rnacentral:rRNA from 1 species
CUGCGCGGAAGAUGUAACGGGGCUCAAACUAUCCACCGAAGCUACGGGUUCAUACUAUGUAUGAGCGGUAGAGGAGCGUUGUGUAAGUCUGUGAAGGUGAAUUGAGAAGUUUGCUGGAGAUAUCACAAGUGCGAAUGCUGACAUGAGUAACGAUAAUGGGUGUGAAAAACAUCCACGCCGAAAGACCAAGGUUUCCUGCGAUACGUUAAUCGAAGCAGGGUUAGUCGGCUCCUAAGGCGAGGCUGAAAAGCGUAGUCGAUGGAAAAUAGGUUAAUAUUCCUAUACUUCUAGUAACAGUGAUGGAGGGACGGAGAAGGCUAUGUCAGAGUGGCGUUGGUUGUCCACUUGAAAGGCUGUAGGUAGAUCUCUUAGGUAAAUCCGGGAGAUUAUUACUGAGAACUGAUGACGACCUAAUUCUCUGAAUUAGGGAGUGAUAGAUGCCAUGCUUCCAAGAAAAGCUUCUAAACUUAUGUUACUAGGAACCGUACCCCAAACCGACACAGGUGGUCAGGUAGAGAAUACCAAGGCGCUUGAGAGAACUCGGGUGAAGGAACUAGGCAAAAUGGCACCGUAACUUCGGGAGAAGGUGCGCUGGUGUGUAGGUGAAGUCCCUGCGGAUGGAGCUGAAGCCAGUCGAAGAUACCAGGCCGCUGCAACUGUUUAUUAAAAACACAGCACUCUGCAAACACGAAAGUGGACGUAUAGGGUGUGACGCCUGCCCGGUGCCGGAAGGUUAAUUGAUGGGGUUAGCUAACGCGAAGCUCUUGAUCGAAGCCCCGGUAAACGGCGGCCGUAACUAUAACGGUCCUAAGGUAGCGAAAUUCCUUGUCGGGUAAGUUCCGACCUGCACGAAUGGCGUAAUGAUGGCGGCGCUGUCUCCACCCGAGACUCAGUGAAAUUGAAAUCGCUGUGAAGAUGCAGUGUAUCCGCGGCUAGACGGAAAGACCCCGUGAACCUUUACUGUAGCUUUGCACUGGACUUUGAACUUGUCUGUGUAGGAUAGGUGGGAGGCUUUGAAGCUGAGACGCUAGUUUCAGUGGAGCCAACCUUGAAAUACCACCCUGACAAUUUUGAGGUUCUAACUCUGACCCGUUAUCCGGGUUGAGGACAGUGUAUGGUGGGCAGUUUGACUGGGGCGGUCUCCUCCUAAAGAGUAACGGAGGAGUACGAAGGUGCGCUC